rnacentral:rRNA from 1 species
GGUUCAUUCAAAUUUCUGCCCUAUCAACUUUCGACGGCUGGGUCUUGGCCAGCCAUGGUGACAACGGGUAACGGAGGGUUAGGGCUCGACCCGGAGAAGGAGCCUGAGAAACGGCUACUACAUCCAAGGAAGGCAGCAGGCGCGCAAAUUACCCAAUCCCGACCGGGGAGGUAGUGACAAUACAUACUGAUACAGGGCUCUUUUGGGUCUUGUAAUUGGAAUGAGUACAAUUUAAAUCCCUUAACGAGGAACAAUUGGAGGGCAAGUCUGGUGCCAGCAGCCGCGGUAAUUCCAGCUCCAAUAGCGUAUAUUAAAGUUGUUGCGGUUAAAAAGCUCGUAGUUG